rnacentral:rRNA from 1 species
UACAGAGGGUGCGAGCGUUGUCCGGAAUCACUGGGCGUAAAGAGCUCGUAGGCGGCCUGUUACGUCUGCUGUGAAAGCCCGGGGCUCAACUCCGGGUCUGCAGUGGAUACGGGCAGGCUAGAGUCCGGCAGGGGAGACUGGAAUUCCUGGUGUAGCGGUGAAAUGCGCAGAUAUCGGGAGGAACACCAGCGGCGAAGGCGGCACUCUGGGCUGGAACUGACGCUGAGGAGCGAAAGCGUGGGUAGCAAACAGG